rnacentral:lncRNA from 1 species
CUGAACUCUGCUGCUCCGUGCAGUACAUUUCAGAAAAUAGUUUGACAUGUCUAUUGGUCUCGGAUUUAGCUGAAAUUUUGCAGAGAACGACUACACAUGAUGAAGUUAUUACAGUAAAAAUUUCAAGUUAUUUGGACUACGAAAACAUCAUCAAAAGUACCCCGAAACAUACUGCCCUGUCAAGCCGAAAACUGACAGCAAAGCCCCUUUGUUUCAACUUAACAUAUAAUUCAUACGUUGUCAAAUACAAACCAUAGGAACUCAAUUACAUCAUCUUACUACACAUUAGCAUGCUUUAGCUUGAAAUUUAACUCAUGUUUAACUCAUCAACACAAAGCAAGCAAGUUAUAACACAAUUAAUCACCACAACUUCUCCAAUCAAUACUAAAAGUAGUUCUUCCCUUAUUCAUAAAUCAAAAUUGGCUCAACACAUAGUAACAUGCCCAAUAUCCCCCAAUUUUUAUCACAUAAUCACAUUCCACGCUCCCAAGAGUUCAAUUACAUAAGCAUCAAAUAUUUAGCUAUCUUACCUCAAG